UAAGACAGAGGGGGCAAGCGUUGUCCGGAUUGACUGGGCGUAAAGCGUCCGCAGGUGGCGUGGCAAGUACGGUGUGAAAUCAGGCGGCUCAACCGCCUGCGGUCAUCGUAGACUGUCAUGCUGGAGGACUGGAGAGGUCGGUGGAAUUGCCGGUGUAGUGGUGAUAUGCGUAGAUAUCGGCAGGAACACCCAAGGGGAAGCCAGCCGACUGGCCAGUGCCUGACACUCAUGGACGACAGCGUGGGGAGCGAACUGGAUUAGAUACCCAGGUAGUCCACGCCGUAAACGAUGGACGCUCGAUCUUUGGUGGGUAACCAGUCCCGCUGGGGGUCUCAGCUAACGCGCAAGCGUCCCGCCUGGGAACUACGAGCGCAAGCUUA
rnacentral:rRNA from 1 species